UUCCCUACGUUGGAGGCACCGGUGAGAGGCAUGACAAUAGACCCGUUAGGGCCUUCCCAUUCCAAGGCAAAUGUGGCUGCACUGGAAAAAGCCCGAUUUGGUGGCACUAUGACAUCCCAGUGAUGACGGAGGGGGUUUGUUAUUAAGUCAUAUUAUUAACCUCUCCAUCAUCGAUCAUUAUGCGAGCAUUAUUAACAUGAAUGCAACAACUAACAUGCAACAUACUGAUGCAGUAACAAAACAUCAAGCAUUUCAAAUGAACAAUGAUAGCAUGCGAAACAUGGCAAUACCAAGUACUAGCAAUCUAAGCAGUGCAACAGAAUUAUCAUAACAUCGAUACUACUAACAUGAAACUAAACCCAAGCAUGAUAUUAUUAGUAACAACAUCAAACUAGCAUGUCAACUUAUUUCAUGGAAGCACAAACAUGCAAGACAGAAAACAAAAGCAUAUAGCACGAAUGAAAUAGCAGCAGACGGAACAACCAAGAAACUACUGCAACUAAACACACACACGAGGUGCAAGCAAAGUGAACAUGCAAGUUCGGGGCUCAUGAUAAGAGGUUGGCUUGCCUGGGGGUCGAGGAUUACUCCGGAAAAAGUGCGGAACGAUCACGGAAAGAUUUGCCGGAAACAAUUCUCUCUCGGAGGGGGCUGUUUACGGGCAAGGGCAAAGUGGUCAUUUUCACUAUGUGAAAACAUAAUGAAAAUGAUACCAACAAAAAGAGCUCGACGAGACAAAGACGUGAGCGUCGGUUUCACCUCAAUCGGAGUUACGGUUGCGGAGAUACGAAGGGUUGAAGUUCAGGGACCUAUCGGUGAAUUUUUUCAGCAAACAGGCCCCUGGAGGAAAAACUGAACGCGCCUUUCUCAGAAAUAUGCUUUCCAGAGAGGAAAGCGCAUUCUGGCCCGGAGAAGAGGAAGAAUACGCUUUCGGCUUAGGGAAAGCGCAUUCUCGGGAAUACGUGGUCACUUAUCCACGUCGGCGCCUGGGGUCAAUCCCUAGUGCGACUGACGGGUGGGCCUCGCGGAGAUGGGGCCCGCCUGGCCUGCGUCUUCAACCUCCCGCUCGCACGCACGCCGGGCAGAUGGAGGGGCUCGCCUCGAUGGCGAUAGCCGGCGCGUCCGGCCACCGCUCGCGACGGCCGACCUACCCACGGGUUCAGGAGCGAGAGGCGCAUCCCGUGGUGUUGUCAGCUGCCGUCGAGGGGCACUAGGGAAGGAACAGCAAGGUGGAUGGCGGGCCAGGGCUUCGGCCUUCGGCGAACAGGGAGCUCCGGUGGGGGAAUGGGGUGGGCAAGGCAACGGGGGGCUCACCGGACCCUGGGGAGGGCAGUGGUGGAGGUGGAACGGCGAGAGGGGCGGCAUCACCGGAAUCGAGCGGAGACCGAGGCGGCAGCCGUGGCAAUGGUGGUGGUCAGGGAGGGGUACCGGGCUCGGGGAGAGGCUUGGGGAGGAGUAGUGGACUGCUACGCUGCUCGGGGUGCGCUUAAAUAGCUGCGGGGAGAGCUCUAGAGGGAGGGGCGAGGCGACACGCGGCACGGCUACGUGUCCGUGCACUGGCGACGCGCAAGUGCGGCCAAGGACCACAUGGAGCGGCGGCAAGGCGACGUGGGGGGCGUGGACAAGAGCCAGGAGGUCACGGAAUCGAGCUGAGCUCGAAGACAAGAGGGGGAAACGGAUAGGAGCGAGGAAACGACGACGAGCUCACGGAUAGGGACUGUUCGGCGACAGCGACGACUCGUCGAGGAAGAAAACAAAGGGGGCGAGGAGUCUAGAGGGAAGAGGACGUCGAGGGGGAGCCGUGUGACAUGCUAGGACAAUCCGGAAUUGACCGGAGCGUCGUUGCUAUUGCCAGCAGUGGCGAGACAACCGAUUUGGCUGGCAAUGCCCCGUGGUCACCACCGACAAUGCACGCUCGGGUCGUCUACUUGGUGCCAAAUGAUGUCUACAACGUAGUCCUCCCAAGGCUCAUUAAAUGUGAGGGGAUGUCACAGGCAGAGGUGUAGAGAGCAGAGGGAACCAAGCUCGACAAGUUUGCUGUUGCAAACUUCGCCACAUCUUGGUGAUCAAACCAGAGAGGUUAAGAGGCAAACUUGAUGUCUAGGAGGUUUAGUCUACCAAGGACUACGGUCCUGGAAAGUUGGAAGGGAUUUGGGUAAGUAUUUAACAUAGCUGCAGUGCAACUAGGAAAUAUGGCCCAGAAAAGAAAUGAGGAAGAAACACUCACUAGGAGUGUUGGAUUGGGCUAAAACAUGGCAAAGCUUCCUGAUUUGGUCAUAUUUAGAUGCUGCAAAAAGAUCAUACCAAAUGGGGUUUCCAAAUUGGUACUUGCUUCACAAGCAUCACAUCUGACCAGAAACUUUGAAAAAAUCCAGGAAAAUAUUGGCUACAUGAAAUGAGCCAAAAUUUGUGGGAGAUAGGUUAUAUGGAUAGGGAAGACUUGGGAAUAUUUUCAACCAUAAUGGAGCAAGGUAAAAUAUACUUGCUUCACAAACUGAAAAUUAGGGCAGAAUCAAAGAAUGGCUCCUGUGCUCACAUAGAUCAAUGGAAUGUACUGAAUUUAGGUUGAGGCUAAUGAUUUGAGAUACUUGAGAAGAUGGAAAAGUUUCAUCCCAUUUGGAAACUCUAUGAAGGUACUUCUUUCACAAGCAUGCCAUCUGGUCAGAAACUUUGAAAAUUUGCACAUGGAGCUAGGAUGAAUGGAUUGAGCUCAUCUUUGGUAUCCAUAGAUUAUUUAUCAAGGUUAAUCACCCUGCCAAAUUGCAGCUCAAUUGGAAUUAGGAAUAAAGCACUUCCUUUGCAAAAAAUUCAGAGAGGGCAGAAACUUGCAUUGGAUCAUGUGCUCAAAUUAUGAUCUUUGGAACAUGGGUUUGGAUGGAAAUGGUGAAGAUAUAGCACGUACAAGCUCCACAAAUUAUUUGGGAAUUUUCCUUGCUAUAAAAAUGGUAGCUCCUUUGGAAACUGGCAGGAAUGCAAUAUUGGCUUAAAAUAAGAAAAUGCAAUUUUCCUUAUUUAAUUAGGGCCAAUAUCUUUGCCAGAGCUUGGAUUAGGCAUAAAUAUCAACUCCACCAAUUCUCAUGAAUUUAGGAGAUGGCUAGCUAUGCCUUUGGAUUUUAUUCCUCAAAAAGGCAAGAAAAGGAAUAAAUCAUAGUUCAAAAAUAUUACAUGGGACUUGGCAAUAUUUUUGCAUAUCCAAGGAUUAGAAGGAUAGGAGGGUCUCUGGGAAUAGAUGGGAUGAUCAAUUGAUCAAGAAAAAUGAUGGCUUCUUUGUAAUCACAAAGGCCACAUUCAAAUUCCAAAAAUUGGAAUUAGGGUUUGAGAGGAUUUGAGAUGAUGCAAAAGAGAUCUUGCCCACUGACAAAGACAUGAGCAAGGUUUUGAAUGGUUGGAAAUGACAAGAAUUCUCAGAGUCAUCCAACAAACUCAGGAGAAAGAUUUUGAAAAUGAGUGCUAGGAAGGAAUAACAGCUCAAAAAUUGAUAACCCAAUUUUGGGGCUGUUACAAACCUCCCCCCCUUAAAAGAAUCUCGUCCUUGAGAUUCCUAGGGCUACAACACAAAUGAAAGGGUAACCACUCCGGGGAAAAACCUCGGGGUUAAUUUUAACCCUUUGGUUGGAUUCGAACGAGUUGGGGGCACCGAUAAUUGGUACACCCCGAGAGAUAUGGGUAAACACGGUUAAAUCCACGGCUAGGUCACUCAAGAUAAGACUCUCGAAAAAUUUGCUACAUGCACCCUAGUGAACAGCAGAUUCACCUGCUGACACAUGGGUCCAGGGCCCACUGGCAGCCUCCUUCUUCUACAUCUGGCUAACGGCUUCUUCGGUGCUGCUGCUUCGCGUGCGGCUGGGCGCAGCGUGCAUCUAUCCCCUAGGGCGAUGAGGACCCUAGUGCCGUAGUGCGUGGCGUGCACGGUGCCGGUGCAGCGAGCACUCACGUCGCGGGCCAGCACCUUGUCGGCACUGCUCACGGAUUCGCCUCCUGGACGCUGGUGGUCGAGCGACGAGCGGUUCUCCUGGACCUCGCUCACCGUACACCGGGGUUGGCCUAUAAAAGACGGCAGCGCGGCUCUCCUCCAAGGCACAAACACAAUGCCGCUCUACUACGUACCUCUUCGGUUUGGGCGAGAUCGAGCCGAGCUCCUUCGGCGAGGAGGUGUUCUUGGUGGCGCUGCGGCUGUUCCUCGCGGCGCUGCUGGGUACGCUAAUCGGCUCGUCGAUCCUCCUGCUGAUACUCUUCAGGAAUGAUCGGGUUCGGGAAAACGCACGGCUAGGUGUGAUGGCUCGAGAUGCGGGAGAAGACGGUGCACUGCGUGGUCCUCCGCCACGCUUGAUCCUCCCUCGCUUCGCGCCAGCAGAGUAAUCGCGUGCUGCGGUGGAGCGGGGGUGGCGACUCAGCUGCGCCACGCUAGGCAGUGACGGUCCGGGUGGUGGGGUCCAGAUGCAGGUGAGGUGGCGGCGCCAUCUCACGAAACACACUGGUAUACAAGGGAAAAUUUCGCGGAUUGCUCCACGAAAAAAGUAGGUGCCGAGGUAGAAUCGGAGUUGAAAUCUGUAUCGGGGUAGAUGUACUGGAUCGAGUGAAAUAAAGCUGGCAACAUUUCUCCGGAAACGAAAUUGGAGCUAACAAAAAAGAAUUAGGGACAAGAAAUGGCCAGAUGGAAAUGCUUCUUCGAGGCUCUGGGUUUGGAAAAUCUGACACACGGGGUGUGCACAGAUAGAGAGGGAUAUGUGACUUUGCAUUCCCCCGAGUACUGCCCAAAUGUACUCGUGGGUGAACCGGGUGUGCGUGCAGUAUGCAGUAUAAUCUAAACUAGCAAACAGACAGAUGCAACAAACAUGCAAUGCAAAACACAGUAGAAAAUCAUACUAAAGUGUUUUAAUGCUAGUGGGUAUAUGUACUGCUGGUAUACAUAUACCUACACCAGCGAGCAUUUUGUGAAAGACUCGGGAUGAGCCAAUGUUGUUUUUAGUAUAUGUGCUCUACUGAUUAAAAUCUUGUUAGCACACAUUGCCAACCCUGUCAAACAUCUCUGUUUGACGGAGAGACAAACAAAAACAAGCAUGAAAACAAAAGCACGAAAACAAACAUAGAACACAGCAGACGGAUUACAACAGUACUAGCAUACAACAAAGCACGAACGCUCUACGCGCUAAACGAAACUACUCACUCUGGGGUACAUAGUUCUAUCCUCCUAUCGAGGAUGAACAGACUGACUGACCUACUCGCAGAUUCACCUCAUUGCCUAACAGAGUUCAUGCAGAGGAUUGGCCUUGCUGGGGCUCUCCUGGAGGAUGAAGACUGAGCCAAUCUCCAUCUUCAUCGUCUGACAGCACUAUGGGUUGGGGUUCGACUACUAGAGGUGUGGCUGAAAUUGAUCCAAGCAAAUGCUGCUGGUGGAUUCGUAAAAGAGCCUUGUCGAGGGUGAUGAUGUUGGGUCUAGGCCACAACACAGGCUGAGAGGGUAGCACUGGUUCGGAUGGCAUGGGGUGAACAGCUUGAGAUGCAAAUUUACGAGCCUCGCGAUAAGCUUCCUUGACAACUCGUACCGCAUCAUUGUCCAGGGUUCUAAACUCGGCAAGCAUCUUGGAAAUCAUCAUCCCCUGGGCAGUGAUAUAUUGCACCAGGCGAGCGAUUGCGAGGUCAUCUCCUUGGAUAGCGGGAGAAGGCUGCAUUCCUGCUUCUGCCACAAUGGGGAAAAAGCAGAACUCCCGCCUCGUUGCCACAUGCGGGAACUUGGUUCGGAGGUGUAGGAUAGCCUCCAUAGCAGCGGCCUGAAUGGCUAAAUCAGUGGUAGGCAUGGCUCUACCCUGAAAAACCAACGACUGGCCAUCUACUGCGGGACCUAGGCUGAUGUGCACUCUUGCAUCAAAGCGAUGAAGGUGAGGGAUGGGUGCCGAUUGGAACACCAGGUAAUCGGGGUUAGCCUUACAGCCAAAGGCUUUGGUGAGCAUCUCAGCAAGAAGGGGUGGAAAGCCAGGGUGGUUGACGGCAAAGGUGCGGAUGUAAAGCUUGGGAGCUUUGAAGGUGCUAGCCAUGGCUGGAGUGUUGCUAGCUAGGCUUCUCUGUAGGGACAUGGCUGACUGAGGGGGUGAACGAUACGGCUAGCGGAAAGGGGGUUUUAUAGGCAGCUAUGCGGGACAUGCCCGCAUGGUGUGGCCCCUUUCCCUUAAUGGCGAAGGGAAAGCGGUGCGGCCAACCAAAAAAGAUAGGUUUGCUAUUCAAUCCACGGAUAUCUAGGCGGGGACAGCGGGGUGAGGACGUGUCGGUCCCGACUGCGCCACCUGAUGAUUAACAGUGGCCAUGCCGGAUGCCAGGGAUGGGUCAAAUCCCUUAGGGUCAUUAUGGGUUGAUGGUAGCGGUGAUCUAAAGCUAGGAUAACCUAUGCCAGCCUGGCAGAUUUGAUACCAUCUCCCGUGGCACCCCAAUCCGCAUGGAGCAGGGGGCCUUCGCACGUCAGCCCAGGAUAACACCUGACGCACGACAGGUCCAUGAUACAGCAUUCCAGGUACAAUAAUACUCAUCAAAUACAUAUGUAUAUGAUUACAUCAUUGAUGAAUACAAUUAUCUGGCAUAGCCCUAAGGCUAUACGGAUGGCAGCGGAAGUCUUGGUUUGGCAGUGUCUCAUCUAGGCUGGGAUACACAACUCACAGGACUGGCAAGAUUACGGCCUAGCACGACGGAUCAAGCGAACAAUUUGGGCACGACCUACAAAACUGGCAUGACACGCCAGGUCAGUACAUUGAAUGUACUUGCAAGACAACCAAAUUCAUAGCACCCAAACAAACAGAUGAUAAAGCAAGAACCAAGCAUAUGCAACAGCCUACCUCAUAGCAGAAACUAAACAUGGCAAUGGCAUAUCAAACUUACUUCUAACAGGGCUACCGCAAAGCAUAACAUAUCAAAACAUGGCAUACCAAAGCAUGGCAUAAAUUCAGUCAAAGCAUGGCAUGGCAUCAUGAAACAAUGCUGAAAAUAAACUACCAGUCAUAACCGACGCAAACAUACCAUGUUAACUUUAUUCAACCAUCUACUAUUCUACCAUAGUUCUUUAAAUGCAAAUAACAACAUACUACUCAUGCAAUGCAAACAAGAUGUGCACCGAGUCCCUCAGACUCUCUUACCGGUGGGUUGCCUCGCAACAAAGCGAUGAUCAUGCACGGAUCACCAACGGAACCACAAUUGGUUCAAUACUCAUCGAGACCUUGUCUCGUGAUCAUACCAACUCAUCAUCGUGAUUACUCACGACUGUCUCACAGUCCAAGUCAUCACAUUAUUUCACAUUAUUCAUCAAGUUAGUUAUAUUAGGUUUAUCCUCCAUUUCUACCGAGACCUGAUAGUGUGACCUACUACGAACUUGUGCCCAUGAGACACGGCUAUCGAUAGAUUUAACACAUACACUCUGCAGAGGUAGCGCACUGUACCCACACCACGAAACCAAUGGCCUCGCACUCCCAUUCGGGUGGACCAACGGCGUUCCCACAAAACCGAUCUAUUGCCAUGACACUCUCCCGGCCACUCCGACCAACACCCCUUUUGGGUUCAGUCCUGGGUGGCCCAAGCCUACCAAAGGUCUUACGGCCACCGUCGUGGCAAAAACGGUCCCAAACAGGGACAAAGCGCGCAAAACAACUCGGGCUCACAAGGUUCAUGUCCGCCUACCUGAUCAGGGUAGCGCGUGCCCAUAACCUUCCCUAUGUUGUAGGCACCGGCGAGAGGCAUGACAAUAGACCCGUUAGGGCCUUCCCAUUCCAAGGCAAAUGUGGCUGCACUGGAAAAAGCCCGAUUUGGUGGCACUAUGACAUCCCAGUGAUGACGGAGGGGGUUUGUUAUUAAGUCAUAUUAUUAACCUCUCCAUCAUCGAUCAUUAUGCGAGCAUUAUUAACCUGAAUGCAACAACUAACAUGCAACAUACUGAUGCAGUAACAAAACAUCAAGCAUUUCAAAUGAUCAAUGAUAGCAUGCGAAACAUGGCAAUACCUAGUACUAGCAAUCUUAGCAGUGCAACAGAAUUAUCAUAACAUCGAUACUACUAACAUGAAACUAAACAGAAGCAUGAUAUUAUCAGUAACAACAUCAAACUAGCAUGUCAACUUAUUUCAUGAAAGCACAAACAUGCAAGACAGAAAACAAAAGCAUAUAGCACGAAUGAAAUAGCAGCAGACAUAACAACCAAGAAACUACUGCAACUAAACACACACGAGGUGCAAGCAAAGUCAACAUGCAAGUUCGGGGAUCAUGAUAAGAGGUUGGCUUGGCUGGGGGUCGAGGAUUACUCCGGAAAAAGUGCGGAACGACCGCGGAAAGAUUUGUUGAAAACAGUUCUCUCUCGGAGGGGGCUGUUUACGGGCAAAGGCAAAGUGGUCAUUUUCACUGUGUGAAAACAUAAUGAAAAUGAUACCAACAAAAAGAGUUCGACGAGAGGAAGACGUGGGCGUUGGUUUCACGUCAAUCGGUGUUACGGUUGCGGAGAUACGAAGGGUUGAAGUUCAGGGACUUAUCGGUGAAAUUUUUCAGCAAACAGGCCCUUGGAGGAAAAACUAAACGCGCCUUUCUCAGAAAUACGAUUUCCAGAUAAGAAAGCGCAUUCUGGCCCGGAGAAGAUGAAAAAUACGCUUUCGUCUUAAGGAAAGCGCAUUCACGGGAAUACGUGGUCAUUUAUCCACGUCAGCGCCUGGGGUCAACCCCUAGUGCGACUGGCGGGUGGGCCUCACGGAGGUGGGGCCCUCCUGGCCUGCGUCUUCAACCUCCCACUCGCACGCGCGCCGGGCAGAGGGAGGGGCUCGCCUCGACGGCAAUAGCCGGCGCGUCCGGCCACCGCUCGCGACGGCCGACCUACCCAUGGGUUCAGGAGCGAGAGGCGCAUCCCGUGGUGUUGUCAGCUGCCAUCGAGGGGCACUAGGGAAGGAGCAGCAAGGUGGACGGCGGGGCAGGGCUUCGGCCUCCGGCGAACAGGGAGCUCCGGUGGGGGAAUGGGGUGGACAAGGCAACGGGGGGCUCACCGGACCCUGGGGAGGGCAGUGGUGGAGGUGGAACGGCGAGAGGGGAGCGGCAUCACCAGAAUCGAGCGGAGCCCGAGGCGCCGGUCGUGGCAAUGGUGGUGGUCAGAGAGGGGUACCGGGCUCGGGGAGAGGCUUG
rnacentral:lncRNA from 1 species